rnacentral:tRNA from 1 species
GGGGGUAGAUGGAGGACUGGUGCCUUCCACGGACUUCAAAUCCGAUGGCCGGCCGGCGGUCGGCGGUGGGUUCGAUUCCCACAUACUCCCGCCA